CACUAAGAAGCUAAAUAGGACAGCACUAGCCUUUUAAGCUAGAAAUAGAGGACGUCCCCCCCCUCCUUAGUGA
rnacentral:tRNA from 1 species